AUCAAUGGAGGUAUAUCUGCAGCACAUAUAAAUACAUGAAUUCAUUAGAAUUUAGAAGUAUAUGAACCAUGUGCAUGUUGCCCUUUGUCUACAUUUCACAAUAAAGAGCUCUAUAACACACUUUAGAAAUUCUUAUUCAAAUGUCAGUCGUAGCAUCAACAGGCCAUGAUGUAAGCUCACUAUAUCUUGACAAAUUUGAUGGUAAAGUAACUUCAACCGCCAAUUGUCGGAUUAUGUUAUGAAUUGAAAUAGCAGGACAAAUCAUAAAUGCUAGGAAAAACUUGAAUAGCACUUUUCAACUUUCAUCCUUUGGAAGAUUUCAGAUCAAUCAGACUUUAGAACUAAAAACUGAUCAAGUGAGUCAAAUGUUGUAGUCCGUGAAUUUGGAUUCCAACUCUCUGGUACAAGUCCGGUAGAUGUUUCUAAAAGAACAAGAUGGCUAUAAUAAUUGACAAAGAUCAAAAGUCCACAUGACUUGUAAAAUUAAUGAUUCUACUAAAACAUUUCAUCUCAUCAAUCCUCUCUUUUGCUAAUAGUUUCAUUUUAUAGCUCACUGUUUGAUUACAGCUUGUAUUCCUUCCAAAGAAAACAGGUACUGUAGAAUUUCAAAUCUCAAUCACUUUUCUAAUAGAUACAUCAGCUCAGUAGAUAUUAAACUCUACAUGACAGUAAGAUCACUUCUUUUUAAACCCUCAUCAAAGUAGUUUAGCGAAAGGAUAUAGUCCAUAUGAUUAAGAGAUAUUGAUAGUGUAAAAUUUAGCUAUAAGAAAUGCAAAUUUACAACUAAUAAACAAACAGGAAAGCAUUCAACAGCUGCAGUACUCACAGGUAUCAAGCAAGAGUGGUUGAAGAAGAAUCAUUCUUUGCACAACCACUCUCGUUACUCUACCUCUAUAAAUUGAAUGGAUUUCAAAAUAUAACCAGAUAAAAAGCUUGCCCUGACUGAAUAUUUGUGUUUAUAUCUGACGAACACAUGGAGCUCUAGGGGCUAGGCCUGACCAAUAAAUUUGGAAAUUGUGCGAUUUUCCCUCAAUAAGUUGACAUUGAGAGUUAUCACAUGGUGCUUCUGUUUUCAUAUUUCAAUGAAAAGUACGAAGUGG
rnacentral:lncRNA from 1 species